GAUAAAGUGGCUGAAUAAUAGGCGAUAGAUUGUAAAUCUUUUUAUGGAAUUUUUUUUUCCUUUAUCA
rnacentral:tRNA from 1 species